rnacentral:rRNA from 1 species
AACGAACGCUGGCGGCAUGCCUAACACAUGCAAGUCGAACGAAGGCUUCGGCCUUAGUGGCGCACGGGUGCGUAACGCGUGGGAAUCUGCCCUUGGGUUCGGAAUAACAGUUAGAAAUGACUGCUAAUACCGGAUGAUGUCGUAAGACCAAAGAUUUAUCGCCCAGGGAUGAGCCCGCGUAAGAUUAGGUAGUUGGUGGGGUAAAAGGCCUACCAAGCCGACGAUCUUUAGCUGGUCUGAGAGGAUGAUCAGCCACACUGGGACUGAGACACGGCCCAGACUCCUACGGGAGGCAGCAGUGGGGAAUAUUGGACAAUGGGCGAAAGCCUGAUCCAGCAAUGCCGCGUGAGUGAUGAAGGCCUUAGGGUUGUAAAGCUCUUUUACCAGGGAUGAUAAUGACAGUACCUGGAGAAUAAGCUCCGGCUAACUCCGUGCCAGCAGCCGCGGUAAU